GUCACACCACGAGCCUCUUGCCGGCGGGCUGGGCCCUCCUCGCGCUGGUACUUGCUCUGGGAAGAGCAGGAGGGGUGCUGGAGCAGUGGUCGUGGCGUCCCCGGGUGCCUGCCGCCCUCCCCGGGCACAAGGUCGCCGUUAGCCCCCCGACCCCCCAGCGCACAAGGUCGCCGUCAGCCCCACGCCUCCCAGCGCUGGUCUCUGGUAGUCACCAUCGUUGACGGAGUAGGAGUACACGCGGAGGUCGGGAAGGGGCAUGGUCUUGCAGGCCAGGUUGUUAGAUGGAAGGACAAGGCGGCGGCGAUGGAGACGGGGAGUCGAUUAGGAAGGAGAAAGAGUUUGUGCAACUGCUGCUCAGUGCGAAAAACAGAGGAGGACGUCAAAGUGUGGGAGGUUGCAGUCUUGCAGGAGAUUAGCCUUACCUUGGC